rnacentral:snoRNA from 1 species
GCAUAAACUCGAUCACUAACUCUGCAAGAUAUUGGAGAAGCGAGGGGAACCAGGUUUGCUAAAACACAACUGAAGUGACAGAAAUGGAAUAACUUCAUUUAUUUGGAGGUGCCACAGGACACCUACAAAUUCCACAGUACUGAA